rnacentral:rRNA from 1 species
GAUGAACGCUGGCGGCGUGCCUAAUACAUGCAAGUCGAGCGAACGGACGAGAAGCUUGCUUCUCUGAUGUUAGCGGCGGACGGGUGAGUAACACGUGGAUAACCUACCUAUAAGACUGGGAUAACUUCGGAAAACCGGAGCUAAUACCGGAUAAUAUUUUGAACCGCAUGGUUCAAAAGUGAAAGACGGUCUUGCUGUCACUUAUAGAUGGAUCCGCGCUGCACUAGCUAGUUGGUAAGGUAACGGCUUACCAAGGCAACGAUGCAUAGCCGACCUGAGAGGGUGAUCGGCCACACUGGAACUGAGACACGGUCCAGACUCCUACGGGAGGCAGCAGUAGGGAAUCUUCCGCAAUGGGCGAAAGCCUGACGGAGCAACGCCGCGUGAGUGAUGAAGGUCUUCGGAUCGUAAAACUCUGUUAUUAGGGAAGAACAUAUGUGUAAGUAACUGUGCACAUCUUGACGGUACCUAAUCAGAAAGCCACGGCUAACUACGUG